AUUGAACGCUGGCGGCAGGCCUAACACAUGCAAGUCGAACGGAGUGGCGGACGGGUGAGUAAUGUCUGGGAACUGCCUGAUGGAGGGGGAUAACUAUUGGAAACGAUAGCUAAUACCGCAUACUGUGAGCUGGACCUCCGUUGUAUUAGCUAGUUGGUGAGGUAAAGGCGCACCAAGGCGACGAUACAUAGCCGACCUGCGAGGGUGUGCGGCCACACUUGGACUGAGACACGGCCCAGACUCCCACGGGAGGCAGCAGUAGGGAAUCUUCGGCAAUGGCCGGAAGUCUGACCGAGCAACGCCGCGUGAGUGAAGAAGGUUUUCGGAUCGUAAAGCUCUGUUGUUAGAGAAGCGGUAACUAACCAGAAAGGGACGGCUAACUCCGUGCCAGCCGCCGCGGUAAUAC
rnacentral:rRNA from 1 species